CUACGGGCGGCACCAGUGAGGAAUAUUGCGCAAUGGGGGAAACCCUGACGCAGCGACGCCGCGUGGAUGAUGAAGGCCUUAGGGUCGUAAAAUCCUGUCAGGUGGGAAGAAGUGGAUAUAGAUUAAUACUCUAUUUCUUUGACGGUACCACCAAAGGAAGCACCGGCUAACUCCGUGCCAGCAGCCGCGGUAAUACGGAGGGUGCAAACGUUGUUCGGAAUUACUGGGCGUAAAGCGCGCGUAGGCGGUUUGUUAAGUCAGAUGUGAAAGUCCACGGCUCAACCAUGGAAGUGCAUUUGAACUGGCAGACUUGAGUACUGGAGGGGGUGGUGGAAUUCCCGGUGUAGAGGUGAAAUUCGUAGAUAUCGGGAGGAAUACCGGUGGCGAAGGCGACCACCUGGCCAGAUACUGACGCUGAGGUGCGAAAGCGUGGGGAGCAAACAGGAUUAGAUACCCGCGUAGUC
rnacentral:rRNA from 1 species